rnacentral:rRNA from 1 species
UUGUUGGUGAGGUAACGGCUCACCAAGGCGACGAUCGGUAGCUGGUCUGAGAGGAUGAUCAGCCACACUGGGACUGAGACACGGCCCAGACUCCUACGGGAGGCAGCAGUGGGGAAUAUUGGACAAUGGGCGCAAGCCUGAUCCAGCCAUGCCGCGUGAGUGAUGACGGCCUUAGGGUUGUAAAGCUCUUUCGCCAGGGACGAUAAUGACGGUACCUGGAUAAGAAGCCCCGGCUAACUUCGUGCCAGCAGCCGCGGUAAUACGAAGGGGGCUAGCGUUGUUCGGAAUCACUGGGCGUAAAGCGCACGUAGGCGGAUCUUUAAGUCAGGGGUGAAAUCCCGAGGCUCAACCUCGGAACUGCCUUUGAUACUGGGGAUCUCGAGUUCGGGAGAGGUGAGUGGAACUGCGAGUGUAGAGGUGAAAUUCGUAGAUAUUCGCAAGAACACCAGUGGCGAAGGCGGCUCACUGGCCCCGAUACUGACGCUGAGGUGCGAAAGCGUGG